rnacentral:rRNA from 1 species
UACGGAGGGGGCUAGCGUUGUUCGGAAUUACUGGGCGUAAAGCGCGCGUAGGCGGACCUGCAAGUCGGGGGUGAAAGCCCGAGGCUCAACCUCGGAACUGCCUUCGAUACUGCGGGUCUCGAGUCCGGGAGAGGUGAGUGGAAUUCCUAGUGUAGAGGUGAAAUUCGUAGAUAUUAGGAAGAACACCAGUGGCGAAGGCGGCUCACUGGCCUGGUACUGACGCUGAGGUGCGAAAGCGUGGGGAGCAAACAGG